rnacentral:rRNA from 1 species
GACGAACGCUGGCGGCGUGCUUAACACAUGCAAGUCGAACGGAAAGGCCUUUUCGGAGGUACUCGAGUGGCGAACGGGUGAGUAACACGUGGGUGAUCUGCCCUGCACUCUGGGAUAAGCCUGGGAAACUGGGUCUAAUACCGGAUAGGACCGCACUUUAGUGUGUGUGGUGGAAAGUUUUUUCGGUGUAGGAUGAGCCCGCGGCCUAUCAGCUUGUUGGUGGGGUAAUGGCCUACCAAGGCGGCGACGGGUAGCCGGACUGAGAGGUUGGUCGGCCACAUUGGGACUGAGAUACGGCCCAGACUCCUACGGGAGGCAGCAGUGGGGAAGAUUGCACAAUGGGCGCAAGCCUGAUGCAGCGACGCCGCGUGGGGGAUGACGGCCUUCGGGUUGUAAACUCCGUUCGCCAGGGACGAAGCGUUUUGUGACGGUACCUGGAGAAGAAGCACCGGCUAACUACGUG